rnacentral:lncRNA from 1 species
CAAGGCCACAUAGCUACUGGGAGCAAAACCAGAAGAAAAACCCAGAAUGUUAUUUCCCUUUGAUUACUUAAUGAAGACAGAAUGUCUGGACCAGUAAUGACCUCCUAAGAUACUGACACUCUGUGAGGUACUAUCUGAGGCAAACAGGACUUCUUGGACAUCUCUUUGACCACAAUAUGGCACCAUACCAGGAAUCUGAGGAAGCAGAGGUUCCACAUGGUUU